AAAAAAGCAAAGAAAGUGUCAGUAGAUACCUGUUUUCUGCCAGAGAUGGAAAGUCAUUGGCUGUAAGCUUUCCUCAGUUCAGACAGAUAUUGAAAUUCCCACCGGAGCUGCAUUUUUGAAACUGUAUGUUACAGAAGUAGGAGAUGACGUAACUGUGCGUUAAACAGAUACGAGUGCCUGUCAUGUGUUUGACAGGAACGAGGGUGGUACCGCGAGAUUGUAAUGACUUCGUCCCUUUU
rnacentral:ncRNA from 1 species